rnacentral:rRNA from 1 species
AUUGAACGCUGGCGGCAUGCCUUACACAUGCAAGUCGAACGGUAACAGGUCUUCGGAUGCUGACGAGUGGCGAACGGGUGAGUAAUACAUCGGAACGUGCCUAGUAGUGGGGGAUAACUACUCGAAAGAGUGGCUAAUACCGCAUGAGAUCUACGGAUGAAAGCAGGGGAUCACAAGACCUUGUGCUACUAGAGCGGCCGAUGGCAGAUUAGGUAGUUGGUGGGAUAAAAGCUUACCAAGCCGACGAUCUGUAGCUGGUCUGAGAGGACGAUCAGCCACACUGGGACUGAGACACGGCCCAGACUCCUACGGGAGGCAGCAGUGGGGAAUUUUGGACAAUGGGCGCAAGCCUGAUCCAGCAAUGCCGCGUGCAGGAUGAAGGCCUUCGGGUUGUAAACUGCUUUUGUACGGAACGAAAAGCCCUGGGUUAAUACCCUGGGGUCAUGACGGUACCGUAAGAAUAAGCACCGGCUAACUACGUGCCAGCAGCCGCUGUAACAC